GAGGUGCCUGAUGCAGAGCUUACCCCCUCCCCCCAAAUUUCUGGUCAAAUCGCGGCUGCAGGGGAGGUCGAGGAGGUGGAAGAGACCGUUGCUGUGAGCCUCGGUCAGGAGGUUGCAAAAGAAAUGCUGCAGAGGCAGGCUUUAAUCAAAAAAACAAAUGACAAGAUGCUCUCGAAUCAGGGAAAAAUUCGUUACCUGGACCAGCAGAAUCGGCAGCUGGAGCAGCAGCAAUUAAUAAAUUAUUCAAAGAUGUCAGAGCUUCAGCAGCGCAUGCUGAAUUACGUUUAAUUUUUUUUUAUGUUAAUAAAAAAUGUUAUUUUUUUGAAA